AUUGAACGCUGGCGGCAUGCUUUGCACAUGCAAGUCGAACGGCAGCGCGGGCUUCGGCCUGGCGGCGAGUGGCGAACGGGUGAGUAAUACAUCGGAACGUGCCCAGUAGUGGGGGAUAGCUCGGCGAAAGCCGGAUUAAUACCGCAUACGACCUGAGGGUGAAAGCGGGGGAUCUUCGGACCUCGCGCUAUUGGAGCGGCCGAUGGCAGAUUAGCUAGUUGGUGGGGUAAAGGCCUACCAAGGCGACGAUCUGUAGCUGGUCUGAGAGGACGACCAGCCACACUGGGACUGAGACACGGCCCAGACUCCUACGGGAGGCAGCAGUGGGGAAUUUUGGACAAAGGGCGAAAGCCUGAUCCAGCAAUGCCGCGUGUGUGAUGAAGGCCUUCGGGUUGUAAAGCACUUUUGGCGGGAACGAAAAGGACUGUGCCAAUACCACGGUUCGAUGACGGUACCCGCAGAAUAAGCACCGGCUAACUACGUG
rnacentral:rRNA from 1 species